GUGGGAGGUGGCAGGGCGUGAAAUUAGUCGAGGUGCGCGCAAGAUAACCCGGACACCAUGGGUAUCUAGAAAAUCUCUCCAUUUCAAUGUAGUUAUUAUGCUAAAGAUGAAAAAACAUGGCAUUUCAUGUUUCAAUAGCUGGUCUCCCUCUCCAUUAGGUAUAUAAUCUUAUUCAACUGGCUAACUCUAUUAUUUGUUACUUUCAUCUGUUUUUGUUUAAUGCGUUUAGG
rnacentral:lncRNA from 1 species